rnacentral:rRNA from 1 species
UUUGAACGCACCUUGCGCUCCUUGGUAUUCCGAGGAGCAUGCCUGUUGAGUGUCAUUAGUAUAUCAAUCAACCUCCUCUUUUUGAGUGGUUGGAUGUGGGGGUUUGCUGGCCUUGUAAAGGGUUCAGCUCUCCUGAAAUGCAUUAGCAGAACAAACCUGUCCAUUGGUGUGAUAACUAUCUACGCUAUUGAAUGUAAGGGGCAGUUCAGCCCUCUAAUGGUCCUCGGACAAUUCAUCAUUAAUGUGACCUCAAAUCAGGUAGGACUACCCGCUGAACUUAAGCAUAUCAAUAAGCGGAGG